rnacentral:rRNA from 1 species
UACGAAGGGGGCGAGCGUUGUUCGGAUUUACUGGGCGUAAAGGGCGCGCAGGCGGCUCAUUUUGUCAGGCGUGAAAGCCCCGGGCUUAACCUGGGAAUGGCGAUGGAGACUGCAAGGCUAGAGUUUGGCAGAGGGGGGUAGAAUUCCACGUGUAGCAGUGAAAUGCGUAGAGAUGUGGAGGAACACCGAUGGCGAAGGCAGCCCCCUGGGUCAAAACUGACGCUCAUGCACGAAAGCGUGGGGAGCAAACAGG